UGGGGAAUAUUGGACAAUGGGCGCAAGCCUGAUCCAGCCAUGCCGCGUGGGUGAAGAAGGCCUUCGGGUUGUAAAGCCCUUUUGUUGGGAAAGAAAAGCAGUCGGUUAAUACCCGAUUGUUCUGACGGUACCCAAAGAAUAAGCACCGGCUAACUUCGUGCCAGCAGCCGCGGUAAUACGAAGGGUGCAAGCGUUACUCGGAAUUACUGGGCGUAAAGCGUGCGUAGGUGGUGGUUUAAGUCUGUUGUGAAAGCCCUGGGCUCAACCUGGGAAUUGCAGUGGAUACUGGGUCACUAGAGUGUGGUAGAGGGUAGCGGAAUUCCCGGUGUAGCAGUGAAAUGCGUAGAGAUCGGGAGGAACAUCCGUGGCGAAGGCGGCUACCUGGACCAACACUGACACUGAGGCACGAAAGCGUGGGGAGCAAACAGGAUUAGAUACCCUGGUAGUCCACGCCCUAAACGAUGCGAACUGGAUGUUGGGUGCAAUUUGGCACGCAGUAUCGAAGCUAACGCGUUAAGUUCGCCGCCUGGGGAGUACGGUCGCAAGACUGAAACUCAAAUGAAUUGACGGGGUCAUAGCUGUUUCCU
rnacentral:rRNA from 1 species